CUGGGGUGAAAGCUGUGCUCGCCUCUGUGUUCAUACUUAGAAAUUUACGUCUCCCGUAAUAGUAUAUCGCAGGUGGCACAGAGCACGUACUAACACCCACUCUGAAUAAAGGAGCAGCACCUGGAGUGUGAUACCUCGUGUGAUCAGUACUGUCCCGGUGGAAGUAACUGUGCUGUUUGCUUAAAUAUAAACCGGAAAACUGAAAGGCUGUUCUCAGCCAAGUGUUAUACACCGGUAAAGAAGAUAGUUAAUCGAUGACUCUACAUGCAUGCUGACCAUGGGAGCUGACGUGUGAGAGAGAACUGCACGUAAUGCUGUGUAGUUUUGAGGGCAUUGGCUGGCUACAGGCAUUAUUAAAAGGACAUUAGUUAAGUAAACUGUCAGGUACUAUAGUAAUGUCUGGGUAUCGGUGUCGAAUCAUAGCUAUUUCAGGUUUACAGAGUGUUGUAUGAUACGGUAUGUCUAAAAUGUUAGCGUUUAACUUGCAAUUUCAUUUUUUUUAACUCCAGUGCACUAGCAAGGGAAUAAAUUGGAAAGAGGAAACUUAAAAUGUUGCAGAAAUCUCACAUAAAGUGUAUUUGACUUUCCUCUGUGUUCUGCUAUUAAACUGUGCCUGGUGUUUGAGUUGUUAAUCAAAUGCAGAUUCUCUGAGGAAAUCUCUUCUGUCAUCAAUAAAUGGUUGUCCAGGAAUUAGUAUCCUUUAAAAGCAAAUAUUUUGAACUUCAAAGAAAUAUGACAGAGUAACAAGAACUCUUGUUCUACUCAGAUUAUGGAACACAUAAGGAGAAGUUUGUGUACAGUUGUAUGGCUGAUAAUUAGAGGAAGUUUUAUAAUAAAUAGGUUCUAGUAGCAAAUGGAAAGUUCCUCCAGAUGUUGUGAAUUUCUAUAGGUUGAUUUUUUUUAUCAGAAAAAAAAUAAUUCUUGUUUACAUAGUUCUUUAAAGAAAACUGCCAAACUAGGGGGGGGGGGAGAGAUAAUAUUGCCCAUCUAGUCUUUGUAUCUUUGCUUUUUGUGAUUUUUGCCAUGUUUAACAUGGCAAAUUACUUAAUAUGUAGCUUUUAGUACUGUUCUUGUUCAUGUCACUGUUCAAAAACUCACAAAAGGUAGCUUGUUCUGCCACCUGAAAAAUAGGAACAACAAAGGUAGAACUGGAGUAUGCACUGAGAGGUUGAAAAAAAUGUAAAUUAUCUCUGUCCAGUUCUUGCAUCAGCUAAAAAGCUUUCUGAAAAGUAAGACUGAUUUCUUUAAGGGCUCUUGGCUUAGGGAGGGAGAAUGACUAAGAAUGGACUUCCUGCACUGGUAAUUAAUUUUCAGGUUUGAAACCUAGGUAUUAAAUGGUGACAGCUGUUUUUAUAAUGGUUAGUACUUGACAUUAUGAUCCUUCUGUAUAUACUUGAUAAUACAAAUGCAACUCUCUCAAUGCACUGUUAGUAGCUUAUACAGAGUACAGAAAAACAAAACCUUCCCAAGCCAGGAAAGGCUGUCAGUGGUUCUGGAAAUUCACAUUAAAUUUGGGAGUUCUUUUACUUAUUAAAACUUUUUGUUGUUAUAUAUUUGCGUUUCACAGGGUGUCACAACAGAGGUGGCUCCUAAAAACUCUGUGUUAAAUAAUUCAGCUUUCCUCAUUGUUAUUUAUUAGGUAUUGUAUUAUUAUAUAUAUUUUUUUAAAUCUGCUUUUGUAGCAUGUUUGUAAUCAAACUUUGUGCAUAAUUGGAUUUUACGUAACCUCCAGGGGGAAAAAACUAAUGUAGCUGUACCCCAGCAUGUUUCAGAAUUGUCUAAUACACGUGCUGGUCGCUACAGUGCCUCGGUGCUCCAUGGGCUAGCUGUGUUAGUGCCUACCUUGCUGUGCUAUGCUCUCUGCCCACUUGUCUAUCAAGCUCAAGUCUGGUGUGGUUAUGUCUGUGCUAUAAUAUGGUCCUGGUUCCACCUGCAGCACAGACAAAUCCUUAGGGUCUUAGAAUUAUCCCUGGCAACUUGUGUUCAUUCAUUGAGAAUUAAAUUCUGAUUCCUCGGGGGCUGAAUGUUAGGAUUUGGGAGUGGAAAAGGGUGAAGUAGGUUAAUUACUGCAACUUUAGACAUGUUUGGGCUUAGACAUGUUUUGGGUACAAGUCUAUGGCUUAGCUAUUCAAAGCUGAUCUGCUAGAUCAGUUAGUAUGUUCAGUAAUUUUUAAGGAAAAUAUGCCAUUUCUUGUAUUAUAUUAUGAUUACCUCUAGAGAGAGGAGACAACUUUAUAACUUCUUAAUUUAAAGCAUGUUCUUUUCAUUAUACUUUUGUCAAUUUUACAUUUGUAGGUACUGGAGCUUGCAGCAGGUUUAUUAUUUAAAUUUGCUUUUAUGACAGGCAUUGUAUAAAUACAUGGUGUACAGUGCCCAGUGUUGUGUUAUAUAUUUGUACAAUAUAAAAGAUGGCCCUUGCCUAAAAGACCGUGCAAUCCAGCGUGACUCGGAGCAUUUAAUAUCGCUCUUGCUUUUCAUGUAAUAUGUAUUUUAAAAUACUGUUCCAUAUUAUUCCAUAUGUCUUAACAUUUAACAGUUUUGACUUGUAUUGGUGCAUGGGCUUAGUUUGUUCAGCUUGCUUUUGUUUCUGACAGAUGGGCAAUAAAUGGGCACAGCAAUGUAUGAAAAUUGCUGUUGAGAACAAAUUAUGUUACUUGAUGUAAUGAUUCUUUUUGUCUUUGUACCAGCUGAUGAAAUACAUGUGCAAGUCUUAUUCAAGCUUGUUGAAAUCCGAAAUGUUUUUGAAUUCAGUAUAGUCCUUGUCAUUUUAUACAUAAUGAAAUUCAAGUUUAACUGAAUUUCAGUUAGCUUAAGCAUUUAAAGAGUUUGACAUAAUGAUGUCUGUCAUUUUUUUUCUUGCAGUAACAUUAAAUCUUGAUCUUUGAAGAUGUUAAGAAUCCUAAAUUUUGCUCAGUCUCCUAAACUAUUAGCAUUGUGAAUCAUUAUUGACAAAGAAAAUGAUUGACACCAAUCAUCCAUAAAAAUGUCAUAUUCCCUGUUCUUUGAUUAUCUGUGUCUGCCUAUCAGUAUUUCUCUGGCUCAUUCAAUAAGGAUUAGUUAUCACUUGCACAUGAUUACUCUUAUUUACUAGUGAAAUUUAACUUACGGGGCAACUUUUUUUUUACUAGAAUUUCAUGAAACCCUGUAUUCUAUAGAAAGCAAAACUAGUUUUCCUGCCAUGUUCAAUAUAUUACUAUGGCUUUAUAUUCUUUAUUAAAAUAAUACUCUAUAUGUUCAUCAUGAUAUAAGUAUUUACAGUGUGAUUGGCAUAGCUCUGCCUCACAUCACGGGGCGGGGGGGGGGAUUUACUUACUGUUCUCUAAAUGUUGGCAUCAAAUACAAGCCAUGCUAAAAUCAGAUCCCUGAAAUCAAUAGGUCUUUGAGGAAAGAUGGUUUUUUUUUCCUUCACUUUGGUAGGAUUAAAAUUGUAGGCCUGGCAGCGUGAUUCUGUCCUUGAGAGUUAAACUGAUGGUUAUGGAUGCUGAUCUGUUCUUUUACAGUUUGUAAACUCAAGUUUUGCUGACAAGCAGCCUGUAGUGGAAACUUCAUAGGACAGGGAGUGUUUUGCUAGCCUGCUUUGUGGAACAAAUCAGUGUAUAGAAGCUUUGGACAGAGCUAGCUUCCAACUUCCACCAUAAGUAUGUAGACAGGAGGAAGCCUCUGCCUUUAACAAAAUAUCUUGGAUAACUGCAUGGAAAUGGGACUGCCCACUAAUCCCCUUCCUCCAGUGGAUCUUGAAUAUCACCCCAGGAUUUACAGAGAUUCCAAAUCAUACAGCAAGGAGAAGAAAUAUCAGAAUACACAGUCAACAGAAGCAGAAAAUGCUGUCUUUAUGAAACGAGCUUUCAGCCUACUGUGUUUCUUGUGAGUAAAGCCUGGGAACAUUCACCUCUUCCAGCACUGAUACCUAUAUUUGCAAAUUCGUUUUUAAAUAGGAUCAAAUCCUGAUGUCCUCAUUUAAAUUCUGUGCUUCUGAAUUUCACUGAGAUAAAUCCACAGGUUUUGGUGAUAUGUUAUUGCAGGCCUCAGUUCCUUUGCUCUGUACUUAACCUCCUACUGGCAUCAGUAGGUCAGAAGCACUGGGGGCUUUGUCCUUGAUUAUCACAACACCCAUCAAGCUCACUUUGGUCUCAAAAGAGUUUGUGCCAAACAUCUUGCACUGAAACAGUAGUUCUCUGUUGUUCCUUCUAGCCUCUCCUUCCCUCCCCAUAUUAUCCAGGGCAAAAGGAGUUUAAAGUGAUUUCUAUAUCUGUAUAAUCUGUUUGCAGUAUUUUGUAUAAUCUGUAUAUACAGUAACCCAUUCUGUAAACCUAUGUUCAAGUGCCUUAUUUUAUAUUGUCUCUGUCAGGCAUUCAAAAAAUAUGUUCAGUCCUUUUUUCCUCUGCUGUAAUG